rnacentral:rRNA from 1 species
AUACUCCUGACUGACCGAUAGUGAACCAGUACCGUGAGGGAAAGGCGAAAAGAACCCCGGCGAGGGGAGUGAAAAAGAACCUGAAACCGUGUACGUACAAGCAGUGGGAGCACAGGUUUACCUGUGUGACUGCGUACCUUUUGUAUAAUGGGUCAGCGACUUAUAUUCUGUAGCAAGGUUAACCGAAUAGGGGAGCCGGAGGGAAACCGAGUCUUAAUUGGGCGUUAAGUUGCAGG